rnacentral:tRNA from 5 species
GCGGGAGUAACUCAGUGGUAGAGUGCAACCUUGCCAAGGUUGAGGUCGAGGGUUCAAAUCCCUUCUCCCGCUCCA